rnacentral:rRNA from 1 species
CGGAAGACCAAGGGUUCCUGUCCAACGUUAAUCGGGGCAGGGUGAGUCGACCCCUAAGGCGAGGCCGAAAGGCGUAGUCGAUGGGAAACAGGUUAAUAUUCCUGUACUUGGUGUUACUGCGAAGGGGGGACGGAGAAGGCUAUGUUGGCCGGGCGACGGUUGUCCCGGUUUAAGCGUGUAGGCUGGUUUUCCAGGCAAAUCCGGAAAAUCAAGGCUGAGGCGUGAUGACGAGGCACUACGGUGCUGAAGCAACAAAUGCCCUGCUUCCAGGAAAAGCCUCUAAGCAUCAGGUAACAUUAAAUCGUACCCCAAACCGACACAGGUGGUCAGGUAGAGAAUACCAAGGCGCUUGAGAGAACUCGGGUGAAGGAACUAGGCAAAAUGGUGCCGUAACUUCGGGAGAAGGCACGCUGAUAUGUAGGUGAAGUCCCUCGCGGAUGGAGCUGAAAUCAGUCGAAGAUACCAGCUGGCUGCAACUGUUUAUUAAAAACACAGCACUGUGCAAACACGAAAGUGGACGUAUACGGUGUGACGCCUGCCCGGUGCCGGAAGGUUAAUUGAUGGGGUUAGCGGUAACGCGAAGCUCUUGAUCGAAGCCCCGGUAAACGGCGGCCGUAACUAUAACGGUCCUAAGGUAGCGAAAUUCCUUGUCGGGUAAGUUCCGACCUGCACGAAUGGCGUAAUGAUGGCCAGGCUGUCUCCACCCGAGACUCAGUGAAAUUGAACUCGCUGUGAAGAUGCAGUGUACCCGCGGCAAGACGGAAAGACCCCGUGAACCUUUACUAUAGCUUGACACUGAACAUUGAGCCUUGAUGUGUAGGAUAGGUGGGAGGCUUUGAAGUGUGGACGCCAGUCUGCAUGGAGCCGACCUUGAAAUACCACCCUUUAAUGUUUGAUGUUCUAACGUUGACCCGUAAUCCGGGUUGCGGACAGUGUCUGGUGGGUAGUUUGACUGGGGCGGUCUCCUCCUAAAGAGUAACGGAGGAGCACGAAGGUUGGCUAAUCCUGGUCGGACAUCAGGAGGUUAGUGCAAUGGCAUAAGCCAGCUUGACUGCGAGCGUGACGGCGCGAGCAGGUGCGAAAGCAGGUCAUAGUGAUCCGGUGGUUCUGAAUGGAAGGGCCAUCGCUCAACGGAUAAAAGGUACUCCGGGGAUAACAGGCUGAUACCGCCCAAGAGUUCAUAUCGACGGCGGUGUUUGGCACCUCGAUGUCGGCUCAUCACAUCCUGGGGCUGAAGUAGGUCCCAAGGGUAUGGCUGUUCGCCAUUUAAAGUGGUACGCGAGCUGGGUUUAGAACGUCGUGAGACAGUUCGGUCCCUAUCUGCCGUGGGCGCUGGAGAACUGAGGGGGGCUGCUCCUAGUACGAGAGGACCGGAGUGGACGCAUCACUGGUGUUCGGGUUGUCAUGCCAAUGGCACUGCCCGGUAGCUAAAUGCGGAAGAGAUAAGUGCUGAAAGCAUCUAAGCACGAAACUUGCC